ensembl:lncRNA novel transcript, antisense to MBP
UACAUUUAACGUGAGACAGCUCACUUUGAUGUUAUCUCAGCCAGUUUUUUAGUAGUUCUGGGUAGAGAUGGACAACAACUGGCCAUCUACCUUGAGAUGCUCCUUUUAUUUUUGAGUUAGGCUCUUACUUUGUCACCCAGGCUGGAGUGCAGAUCAUGGCUCACUGCAGCCUCGACCUCCUGGAUUCAGUGAUCCUCCUACCUCAGCCUGCCGAGUAGCUGGGACUACCGGUGCACACCCCAUACCCAGCUAAUUUUCAUUAUUUUGUUAGAGACAGUGUCUUGCUAUGUUAGCCAGGCUGGUUUCAAUGUCCUGACUUCAAGUGAUCUCCCCGCCUUGGCCUCCUGAGCAGCUGAAAGUACAGUUCAUGGCCCAGGCAGAGUCAUUCAUCACGGCAUCUCCUGAGCUAAACCAGCACCUGCUCUGCUCACUUCUUGACUGGCUGCUCAUCAUCAGCCCUCUGCAGAGAUUUCAUUUCCUCCGUGCCAGGUACUUCACGCACCAAGCUCAGAGGCUGCCCUAUCAAUUUCAUACGCGUUCCCUGCCCCUACAGACGGGCAGGCCAGCU